AGUGAACGCUGGCGGUAGGCCUAACACAUGCAAGUCGAACGGCAGCACAGUAAGAGCUUGCUCUUACGGGUGGCGAGUGGCGGACGGGGGAGGAAUACAUCGGAAUCUACUUUUUCGUGGGGGAUAACGUAGGGAAACUUACGCUAAUACCGCAUACGACCUACGGGUGAAAGCAGGGGAUCUUCGGACCUUGCGCGAUUGAAUGAGCCGAUGUCGGAUUAGCUAGUUGGCGGGGUAAAGGCCCACCAAGGCGACGAUCCGUAGCUGGUCUGAGAGGAUGAACAGCUAGACUGGAACUGAGACACGGUCCAGACACCGACGGGAGGACGCAGUGGGGAAUAUUGGACGAUGGGGGCAAGCCUGAUCCAGCCAUACCGCGUGGGUGAAGAAGGCCUUCGGGUUGUAAAGCCAUUUUGUUGGGAAAGAAAAGCAGCAGGUUAAUACCCCGCUGUUCUGACGGUACCCAAAGAAUAAGCACCGGCUAACUUCGUG
rnacentral:rRNA from 1 species